rnacentral:rRNA from 1 species
UCAGGCCUAACACAUGCAAGUCGAGGGGUAGAAGGAGCUUGCUCCUUUGAGACCGGCGCACGGGUGCGUAACGCGUAUGCAAUCUACCUUUUACAGAGGGAUAGCCCAGAGAAAUUUGGAUUAAUACCUCAUAGUAUAUAACCUUCGCAUGUUGGUUAUAUUAAAGUUCCAACGGUAAAAGAUGAGCAUGCGUCCUAUUAGCUAGUUGGUGUGGUAACGGCACACCAAGGCAACGAUAGGUAGGGGUCCUGAGAGGGAGAUCCCCCACACUGGUACUGAGACACGGACCAGACUCCUACGGGAGGCAGCAGUGAGGAAUAUUGGACAAUGGGCGCAAGCCUGAUACGGCCAUGCCGCGUGCAGGAAGACGGUCCUAUGGAUUAAAGGUGCUUUUGUACGGGAAGAAACACUCCUACGUGUAGGAGCUGAC